UUAACCACUACACCAGUGGGCUGGCCCCAAAGUUAGGAUUUUUUAAAGAACUUUUUCUAACUCUGGGAAAUGGUCACUCAGGGACAUUUACAUAUACAUACAAGAGUACAAAAUAACUCUUAAGGGAU